rnacentral:rRNA from 1 species
GUGGGGAAUUUUGCGCAAUGCUCGUAAGAGUGACGCAGCGACGCCGCGUGAAUGACGAAGGCCUUCGGGUCGUAAAGUUCUUUCGACAGGGAAGAAAAUGCCUAUAAGUAACUGUGUAUGUAUUGACGGUACCUGUAUAAGCAGCCCCGGCUAACUCCGUGCCAGCAGCCGCGGUAAUACGGAGGGGGCGAGCGUUGUUCGGAGUGACUGGGCGUAAAGAGCACGUAGGCGGUGUUGUAAGUCAUUAGUCAAAGACUAGAGCUCAACUUUAGUAAGGCUAGUGAUACUAUAAUACUAGAGUAUCAGAGAGGAUUGCAGAAUUCCUGGUGUAGCGGUGAAAUGCGUAGAUAUCAGGAGGAAUACCGUUAGCGAAGGCGGCAAUCUGGCUGGAAACUGACGCUGAGGUGCGAAAGCGUGGGUAGCAAACAGGAUUAGAAACCCGUGUAGUCC